AUGGCUGCAGCUGCUCAAUUUCUGGUCCAUAACUCCUCAUCCAACACAUCUAUUAAUCGAGAAGAAAUUAUAGCAAUCAAGGACAUAAACCCCACAGAGGCUAUGAGAAGAUUGGUAAAUAGUCGAGGGUCCAAAUCAGCUGGGAGAUCUUCAAACUCUUCAGUCGUGUAUAGAGGUGAGAUUAGUGUUAACCUCAUCACAUAUUUAGUUGGGCAGUUGAAAACAGAGAGUUUUAAGGUGGACUUCUUCAAAGUUGUGGAAGAUGAUCCUUCUAUCGAGUCUGGUGUCAAAUAG